rnacentral:tRNA from 1 species
GCCUGGGUGGCUCAGUCGGUUAAGCUUCCGACUUCAGCUCAGGUCAUGAUCUCGCAGUUUGUGGGUUUGAGGCCCACCUCGGGCU